CGGGGUGUAGCGCAGCUGGUAGCGCGCUUGGUUCGGGACCAAGAGGCCG
rnacentral:tRNA from 1 species